rnacentral:rRNA from 1 species
UAGAGCGGCGGACGGGUGAGUAACACGUGGACCGAUCUGGACCCCCCGGCCCGGGAUAGCCCAGGGAAACCUGGAUUAAUACCGGAUGAGACGGGACCCGCGAUGGCGGGAUCCGGGAAAGGCGCUGCGGCGCCGCCGGGGGGAUGAGUCUGCGUCCCAUUAGCUAGACGCGGGGUAACGGCCCACCGUGGCGACGAUGGGUAGCCGGCCUGAGAGGGUGGACGGCCACAUUGGAACUGAGACACGGUCCAGACUCCUACGGGAGGCAGCAGCUAAGAAUCUUCCGCAAUGGGCGAAAGCCUGACGGAGCCGACGCCGCGUGAACGAAGAAGGCCGUGAGGUUGUAAAGUUCUUUUCGGGAGGGGGAACAACCGUGGCAGGGAAUGGCCGCGGGAUGACGUGAAUCCCGGAAUAAGCCCCGGCUAACUACGUGCCAGCCGCCGC